CAGGUCACAUGUACAAUAGCCUGCAUUCAGCAUUGCAGCUCAAAAAAUGUAACUGCAGCAGCAGGGACCAGUAGUAACGAUGACUUAUCAGUCAACUCUAUAAGUGGGAACAAAAGCUACAGAGGCGGAAGACCAAAAAGAGAUGUGUCACCAUCCGAUGGGAUAAGAAGCGCUCCGAACAACGUGACAAGGCCCGGCCCGGUUCUGGAUCUCAAGGCAGAGUCCGUGGGUGUGGAGCAUGUGAAUUUGUCAUGGAGGGUG